rnacentral:sRNA from 1 species
GAAAAUAUAAACAAAGAAGCAGACAGACAGAUGGAAAAACUGUAUGAAUAAGAAAAGGUCAGAAGAGUCAUCAAGUUCUUCAGAUACUAUGAUUGAUGGUGGACGCCAGCUCAAACGGACAAAGCGACUAGAAACCAAGACAGGGACCACAUCUCUGGGAGCAGAAGGGAGGAUGCUGGAGCUUGGGAUGG